CUGGAAGCUGCUACUGUCUUCCCUGCAAUCUAAACUACCUUUCAGAUAAAAGGGAGGUGACAGAGGAUGAUGGUGGCUGUGGAAUCUGAAGCUGGACUCUCUGGUUCAGAUAGUACCUCUGUGAUUGCACCAUGAGCUCCUGGGCAGUCCCUCUACCUCCUUUCCUAUAUAACAGUAACCUUGACCUCCCUACCUCCUGGACUGAGUGGAUUAGGACAGAGCAGUGCCUGGAAUAGGAGGAGUCACAGGCACUGUAGUGAUGCCUCUCUGUGUGUCAGGCCUGUUCCCAGCUGGAGUGAUACCCCAGGGCUGUGCUGCUGGACAGUCCACACCACUGAACUGAGACAGGCAAUGGAGACACCUCGGAGCCUGGUGCUCUGAAGAAAGCAGCUAAACAAGCACUGGUCUUGAGAUAAACCACACUGAAACUGUUGCACCUCACCCACUUCCAGACACCGAGUCUCCCACCUUCCACAGCAACAGCCUGGAUUGGACGAGAGGCUGACUUCAGUAACUUUCCCCUGAUAAGGAAGCACUGACCGCGGACUGGUUCUGGCAGUUUACGGAGGCUGCACACUGACGCCUUCAUGUCCCUUUGUGUCCCUGCUUUACCUUUUAACCUAUAAGGCCUAACUGUAAUGCAUUUUUUUCUUUUUUGAGUAUUUUUUUAUUUUGUCAAAUUAAUAUGAGAGUACACUGUUUAGGUACAUUGUUCUCACUUCCAGGGUUAAGUUGUAAUGCAUUUAAAUGUCAAGUUCCACCCCAGAGUGAACAUGGGACGUGGGUGCCACGCAUGUGAACUUCCUGCACCGUGCACAUUCCCCCUUUGUGAAUGUGAUAGUGCUUCUUAUACCCUGCUGAGUACAUGCACUCAGCAACCCAGUCGGCAUCAGUGCCUGUCUCUGCCUCCUCCUUCCAAGGACCUACUUUUGGUCUCCAAUGGAGGCUGCACUCCCCACCCAUCAGGACAGACUUUAUAUGAAAGAGAGCUUUCUUCUCUAAAUUUAUGGACCUCAGGAUUCUUUGUUGACAGUGCUUUUGCCAGAGGUAAACAUGAAAAACAAGAGGAAAUGAGCUGGAACCGGUUUGUUGAGAAGACAGUUGACAGGGAAGAGGA